rnacentral:rRNA from 1 species
AAUGAACGCUGGCGGCGCGCCUAAUACAUGCAAGUCGAGCGAGAAGACGUAGCAAUACGUUUGUAAAGCGGCGAACGGGUGAGGAAUACAUGGGUAACCUACCCUAGAGUGGGGAAUAACUAGCCGAAAGGUUAGCUAAUACCGCGUACGCUCCUUGGACUUCGGUUCAGGGGGGAAAGCGCUACCGAGGGUAGCGCGCUCUUGGAUGGGCUCAUGUCCUAUCAGCUUGUUGGUGAGGUAACGGCUCACCAAGGCUACGACGGGUAGCUGGUCUGAGAGGACGAUCAGCCACACUGGCACUGCGACACGGGCCAGACUCCUACGGGAGGCAGCAGUAAGGAAUAUUGCGCAAUGGGCGAAAGCCUGACGCAGCGACGCCGCGUGGGGGAUGAAGGUCUUCGGAUUGUAAACCCCUUUCGGGAGGGAAGAUGGAAUGGGGUAACCCAUUCGGACGGUACCUCCAGAAGCAACCACGGCUAACUUCGUGCCAGCAGCCGCGGUAAUACGAAGGUGGCAAGCGUUAUUCGGAUUUACUGGGCGUACAGGGAGCGUAGGCGGUUCGGUAAGCCCUCUGUGAAAUCUCCAGGCUUAACCUGGAAAAGUCGGGGGGGACUGCUGGGCUAGAGGACGGGAGAGGAGCGCGGAAUUCCCGGUGUAGCGGUGAAAUGCGUAGAGAUCGGGAGGAAGGCCGGUGGCGAAGGCGGCGCUCUGGAACGUUUCUGACGCUGAGGCUCGAAAGCGUGGGGAGCAAACAGGAUUAGAUACCCUGGUAGUCCACGCCUUAAACUAUGAAUACUAAGUGUCGGCGGUUUACCGCCGGUGCCGCAGCUAACGCAUUAAGUAUUCCGCCUGGGAAGUACGGCCGCAAGGUUG